UCAUCUAACUGGGAUCGGGAAGGUGGUUUUAUUCCUCAGGAUUGAGGCUCAUCCUUUGCAUUCCAGGUUUGCAGAGCCCUGUGAUGUUUCCAAAGGAUGGAAACUCAGAUGCGUAUUUGUAGCGAUGGGGUAUGUGUUAACACUCUCCCAUG
rnacentral:snRNA from 8 species